UUCCUGCAGUGCCUUCAGACUACUUGGGAACAGUCCUACUGGUGCAAGAGUGAGCGAGUGGCUGUGUGGUGCUUGAUUGCUGGCUGGGGUGAAAACACAACAGGAACGUAUCACCAGCAGGAUCUGGACCAACCAGGAAGUUGAAACUCAAACUGUGUGACUAAAAAAGAUGUGAGACAGCAAAACAUUCUGAGCACGGAUGGAUGAGGUGGCAUCACACAGCCCAGAAGAGACAGAGCAAAAUCAGUUUUUCUUGUAUUCUGGAAAGCUGUUAGCCAGCACACAGGAGAUAUGAACUGAUGGCAAGGCUCCCACAGUCGGUGUGGGGAGGGCUGGGCUGGAACAGUGCAGAAGUAGAUCUGAAAGGAGCAUGCAAGAGGAACUUGGCACUUUCUCAGUCUGCACCCGCCACGCCUGGGAGUGUUCUGUGGAUUCCCAGCACGUGAAUGAUAAGGGAGAGCAAUCUUUCCUCCCCAGACACAGAGAUAAAGGCCAGGAGCCAGGCAGCAGCCAUGUGCACUGAUGCUGGAGAAGGAAGGAAGCUGCUGCUACAGCGAGGCCCCUGUGGUCACGGGUGACAAACCUCAGGCUGCAGUGGG